rnacentral:lncRNA from 1 species
GGGAAUGGAUAGAAAAUAUUGAGAUGGUUAAUGUUCUAAAGUGUAUUAAGAAAUAGUCUUUGUUUGAUUAAUGCAAUAAUCAGUCUGUAUAUAAGAUUAUUGAGUUAUGGUUAACGUCGUGAAGUCUUUUUUUUUUUUUCAAAUGUGAAUAGACGCAGGAAAGGCUCAGGGGUUGUGUAUUUUACGGCGAAUGUUAAUAGUUGAUAGUUUGAGCAAAGAUUAUUUCAGAUAUUAGAAGUUUAAUUAUAUGUUACCAUUGCAUCAAACUAAAGCUAGAUGAUCGAUGUUUUUCUGUCUUUCUUUUGAUCACUUUUUUUAGCCUUUCCUGCGUCUAUUCACAUUUGAAAAAAAAAUACGAUAAUCUGUCUUAUUAGUCCAAUAUAAGAACACUUCCAAUAGAAAAAACCUCAAAAAAAUAAAUUAAAAAAAAAACAAAAAGUUAAGGAUAAAUUCUUAAAAUAGAGAUUUUAGAAUUGGUAAGAACCUCUAAAAUAUCAUUUUUUAUCGGCUCCUUUUAUAUGUCUUUCUCUUU